GCCGGCUCGGGAGCUUCGGCCGCGCGGGAGCGCCGGCCGGGUGUCCAGCGCCAGACAGGCUUCGUCGUCCUCCACCCUCGGCGAGGGGAGCGGCCGGGCUCGGGUCCGGAGGCUCGCGAGGAGCCGCUGGCCCUGUGAGUCAGUGCCUGUGCGGGGCUGAAGAAGGAAAGGAGAGGCCCCCAGCGCCCCAGCCCCACACUCGCUGAAUACCAAGCUGCAGCGAGCUGCCGGGUGCUUUUUUUUUUUUAAUCUCCUCCGAUUCGGAGUAGAAGAUCCACACUGCUUUCCUUCCAGGGGAGGGGAGGGGCAGGGCCCGAGGUCCCAAGUCGCACACAAGUCUUCGCUGCCAUGGGGGCCGUCAUGGGCACCUUCUCCUCUCUGCAAACCAAACAAAGACGACCCUCGAAAGGCACGUUCUGCAAAGCCGACUCUCAUGACGUCAUUGACAGUGUGUUGGCUGGUCUGCCCUCCCCCCGUCCCACCCACGUGUACGCUGUGCGCCUGGAGAUCAGAGGCGGCCUCUUAAUGAUCUUUGACACAGUGGUGGGCACAGGUAAGAGUCUACUAGAUACUGAACACAGGUCCUGG
rnacentral:lncRNA from 1 species